CCUACGGGCUGCACCAGUGGGGAAUAUUGCACGAUGGGCGCAAGCCUGAUGCAGCCAUGCCGCGUGUAUGAAGAAGGCCUUCGGGUUGUAAAGUACUUUCAGCGGGGAGGAAGGUAUUGUGGUUAAUAACCACAGCAAUUGACGUUACCCGCAGAAGAAGCACCGGCUAACUCCGUGCCAGCAGCCGCGGUAAUACGGAGGGUGCAAGCGUUAAUCGGAAUUACUGGGCGUAAAGCGCACGCAGGCGGUCUGCCAAGUCGGAUGUGAAAUCCCCGGGCUCAACCUGGGAACUGCAUUCGAAACUGGCAGGCUAGAGUCUUGUAGAGGGGGGUAGAAUUCCAGGUGUAGCGGUGAAAUGCGUAGAGAUCUGGAGGAAUACCGGUGGCGAAGGCGGCCCCCUGGACAAAGACUGACGCUCAGGUGCGAAAGCGUGGGGAGCAAACAGGAUUAGAUACCCCCGUAGUC
rnacentral:rRNA from 1 species